ensembl:lncRNA
UUGGGGUCCUGGGUCACAUUGGGGUCAUGUGUGACCCUGGGGACAUUGGGGACAUUGGGGGCAUUGGGGUCCUGUGUGACCAUGGGGACAUUGGGGACAAUGGGGACAAUGGGGUCCUGGGUCACAUUGGGGUCCUGUGUGACCCUGGGGACAUUGGGGACAUUGGGGACAUUGGGGUCAUUGGGGUCCUGGGUCACAUUGGGGUCAUUUGUGACCCUGGGGACAUUGGGGACAAUGGGAUCCUGUGUGACAUUGGGGUCGUUUGUGACCCUGGGGACAUUGGGGUCAUUGGGGUCCUGGGGGACACUGGGGACAUUGGGGACAAUGGGGACAUUGGGGUGAGGUGUCCAUGUGUGCCAUUGGGGACACCGCGUGUCGAUGUCACCCCCCGACCCCAUUAAAGGCCACUGAACCCCAAAACGGCUCUGAGUGUCUGUGGGGGGGGGGGGGGGGGGGACAGCGGGGGGGUGACAAUGGGGACAGUGACAAUGGGAUGGGGACAAUGGGGCACUGAUGGUGACAAUGGGGACAGUGACAAUGGGGUGGUCACAAUGGGGUGGUCACAAUGGGAUGGUCACAAUGGGAUGGUGACAAUGGGGUGGUCACAAUGGGGACAGUGACAAUGGGAUGGUGACAAUGGGAUGGGGACAAUGGGACAGGGAUGGGGACAAUGGGAUGGUGACAAUGGGGACAGUGACAAUGGGAUGGGGACAAUGGGGUGGUGACAAUGGGGGUGGUGACAAUGGGAUGGUGACAAUGGGAUGGGGACAAUGGGGACAGUGACAAUGGGAUGGGGACAAUGGGAUGGGGACAAUGGGACAGGGAGGGGGACAAUGGGACGGGGGUGGUGACAAUGGGGUGGUGACAAUGGGAUGGGGACAAUGGGAUGGGGACAAUGGGGCACUGAUGGUGACAAUGGGGACAGUGACAAUGGGAUGGUGACAAUGGGGUGGUGACAAUGGGGCACUGAUGGUGACAAUGGGGAUGGGGACAAUGGGAUGGGGACAAUGGGAUGGUGACAAUGGGGUGGUGACAAUGGGGACAGUGACAAUGGGAUGGUGACAAUGGGAUGGUGACAAUGGGGCACUGAUGGUGACAAUGGGGUUGGUGACAAUGGGGACAGUGACAAUGGGAUGGGGACAAUGGGGUGGUGACAAUGGGGGUGGUGACAAUGGGAUGGUGACAAUGGGAUGGGGACAAUGGGGACAGUGACAAUGGGAUGGGGACAAUGGGACAGGGAGGGGGACAAUGGGGGUGGUCACAAUGGGGACAGUGACAAUGGGAUGGUGACAAUGGGGACGGUGACAAUGGGAUGGUGACAAUGGGAUGGGGACAAUGGGACAGGGAGGGGGACAAUGGGGACAGUGACAAUGGGAUGGUGACAAUGGGGUGGUGACAAUGGAGCAUUGAUGGUGACAAUGGGGACAGUGACAAUAGGAUGGGGACAAUGGGAUGGGGACAAUGGGACAGGGAGGGUGACAAUGGGGGGGGUGACAAUGGGGACAGUGACAAUGGGAUGGGGACAAUGGGGCACUGAUGGUGACAAUGGGGACGGUGACAAUGGGGACAGUGACAAUGGGGCGGGGAUGGUGACAAUGGGGACACUGAUGGUGGCAAUGGGGCAGGGAUGGUGACAAUGGGGACAGGGAUGGUGGCAAUGGGGCAGUGAUGGCGCCAUGGGGACGGUGCUAUGGGGACAGUGACACAGGGAUGGUGACAAUGGGACAGGGAUGGUGGCAAUGGGGCCGGGAUGGUGACAAUGGGGACAUGAUGGUGGCAAUGGGGCAGGGAUGGCGCCAUGGGGACGGUGCUAUGGGGACAGUGACAAUGGGAUGGUGGCAAUGGGGCAGGGAUGGCGCCAUGGGGACGGUGCUAUGGGGACAGUGACACAGGGAUGGUGACAAUGGGGACAGGGAUGGUGGCAAUGGGGCCGCGGCGCCCCGGUGCGGGUGACACAGCGCCCGGUGACGGGGACAGGAUGGGGCCCCCCACCCCCCACCCCCCCCCCCCCCCGCCCCACACUUCCUGCCCCACUGCAGCGCCGCGGUUUCCUGCCGGGGGGGGGGGGGGUGGGGACGGGGACGGUCCCAAAGGCGGCGG